CACCGCCUGGGGAGUACGACCGCAAGGUUAAAACUCAAAUGAAUUGACGGGGACCCGCACAAGUAGUGGAGCAUGUGGUUUAAUUCGAAGAUACGCGCAGAACCUUACCAACACUUGACAUGUUCGUCGCGACUUUAAGAGAUUAAAGUUUUCGGUUCGGCCGGACGAAACACAGGUGCUGCAUGGCUGUCGUCAGCUCGUGUCGUGAGAUGUUGGGUUAAGUCCCGCAACGAGCGCAACCCUCACUUUUAGUUGCCAUCAUUUAGUUGGGCACUCUGAAAGAACUGCCAGUGAUAAGCUGGAGGAAGGUGGGGAUGACGUCAAGUCCUCAUGGCCCUUACGUGUUGGGCUACACACGUGCUACAAUGGUAUCUACAACAGGAAGCAAAACAGCGAUGUUAAGCAAAUCCUUAAAAGAUACCUCAGUUCGGAUUGCACUCUGCAACUCGAGUGCAUGAAGCUGGAAUUACUAGUAAUCGUGGAUCAGCGUGCCACGGUGAAUGCGUUCCCGGGUCUUGUACACACCGCCCGUCACACCAUGGGAGUUGGUUCUACCUUAAGGUUAAGGCAUAAAACCCUUGACCACGGUAUAGUCAGCGACUGGGGUGAAGUCGUAACAAGGUAGCCGUAGGGGAACCUGCGGCUGGAUUACCUCCUUUCUAAGGAUGAAUGAAAUUUAAAUUUCAUUCUAAAUAAUAUACAUAGGUUAUGUUGACCGUCCUCAUUUCUCUUCUUAAAAGUUAGUGUUUCUCUUGCAUGGGGGCCGGUAGCUCAGUUGGUUAGAGCACACCCUUGAUAAGGGUGGGGUCGAAAGUUCGAGUCUUUCUCGGCCCAACAAAAUAAGAUUGAGGGGGAUUAGCUCAGCUGGGAGAGCGCCUGAUUUGCAUUCAGGAGGUCAGCGGUUCGAUCCCGCUAUCCUCCACCAAACACUUAGUUAUAAGAAUUGUGAAUAAAAAAUAAUAAUUAAUAUCAAUAUCUAUAUCCGAACAUUAGUAAUGUUAUUAGCUAGUGUUCAAAAUAAAAAUUUGAUUCAACACAGAAUUUUUUUCUG
rnacentral:sRNA from 1 species